AAUAGCCAUAGAUCUUUUAACGAUUAAUGUUGUUAAUAAAGGUCUGUGAUAAUCAUAGAACAAUAUGGUGAUAAUAGUUUGCUAUAGUAUUUUGUAAUUUUGUCCUUAAUCGUGGUUACUAUAUCUACAAUAUUGUCAAAUGUCAAUCAAUUAAUACAAUUAUUUAUUAAAUCAAAACAUUUUUAAUUUGGUAACUGUGUCAAAAUUAAUAGUUAAUACGUUCAUUACACACCAAGCGACAUAACGGACUGUUAUAUUACUUUUAUUACAUAAUUCCUAGUGCUAAAGGGAUCACGACGGAUGGAUUUGUUUCUAUAUUUUUUUUUUUAUAGAAUCAAAAACAGGGACUCUAAAACCAAUUUGAGAUAAAAACUCGGAGCAAUUAAACAUGCCAUUUAGUAUUUAUUAAUUUGUACUUUGUAAUUAGUUCAAGAGUCACAAACCACGAACAAAACAUCAAAAUUUAAAAUACUUCCUGCGAGUAAUGAGUGAUACAAGACCUUGUCAGUUUGCAACAUCUUCCAUAAGUUAGCAAGAUACAGUAUCUGACAUAAAUAUGCGGCUGAUCCAAUGAGAAGAUUAUUCUCUGCUGUUUGGAAACACUUCAACUGAAAAAACUGUUCUUCUUAUUAUAAUUGUUUAUCCCAGUCACCAUAAAGAACUUCCACAUAAACUUGGAUAAAAAUAAUAUUGACUAACACGGACUUCUCAACUAUGUUUUAUUCAGUUAAUUUGUCUAUUCCAUCAUUAUCAGUUUCAGAUGGAAAAUAUCUACAUAACUGAAUAAUAAUAAUUUGAUCAUUUUUGAAAGUGAUUAUGAUUGCAAGGAAUGAAAUAUAAACAUUAAAUUUAAAAUUAUUGUUAAGAUUUUGAGAAUUUUUUUCAGUUUUAACUCGCCAGUAUUUUAUGUCUAAAAGUAUUGAAAGUAUUACAUGAAUAUUUGAAUAUUCAUAGCAUUGUAAUUAUGAUACUGUAUUAUUAAUCUGGAUAUUUAGGGCAAACAUUUUCAUCUAGUAAUCGUAUUAAAUAUUCAAAUAUAAUUAAACAUGAUUUUAUAUUUAACUUUGAUUGAAACAACAAUUAACUAUUCUACUAAUAGGUGCAACCACGAAUUUUCCAGAGAACUUGCACGUUAAAUUUUCUGAAGCCAAUACUGUAAUAAUGACCUAGUCUAACACUUUCACGCAUAAUAGCCAAGUACAUAAUUUUUUAUCACAUACCUUUUAAUAUACUAUAAUAAAUUGUGCACCAUUUAAAGAUGUUGAUCAUGGUUAGUGUAGAAAUUAUACACUAGACUCAUAGUAAACUGUGGCCAUUGAAGACAGUUAUUAUUUAUUUAACAUUAUUAAGCCUAUUAUAAAUCUAUUACAUUUACAAUUAGCACAA